GACAUUCUCCCUCCGUUUCAAAAUUUUUGUCUUAUCUUAGAUUUGUUUAGAUAUGAAUGUAUCUAGUCAAAUUUUAGUAUUUAGAGACAUCUAUUUCUAGACAAAGUUGAGACAAGAAUUUUGGGAUGGAGGGAGUACAUG
rfam:Hordeum vulgare subsp. vulgare, WGS project CAJW01000000 data, contig: morex_contig_47645